rnacentral:rRNA from 1 species
CCUACGGGGGGCUGCAGUCGAGAAUCUUCGGCAAUGGGCGCAAGCCUGACCGAGCGACGCCGCGUGGAGGAAGACGGCCCUUGGGUUGUAAACUCCUGUCGAGGGGAAGGAAGGGUCGGCGAAGAGCCGAUCUUGACCGCUCCCUGGAGGAAGCACGGGCUAAGUUCGUGCCAGCAGCCGCGGUAAGACGAACCGUGCAAACGUUAUUCGGAAUCACUGGGCUUAAAGGGCGCGUAGGCGGAAUGGCGCGUCGGCGUUGAAAUCCCCCGGCUCAA